UACGGGGGGAGCAAGCGUUGUUCGGAUUUACUGGGCGUAAAGGGCGCGUAGGCGGCCACCGCAAGUCGACUGUGAAAUCUCCGGGCUUAACCCGGAACGGUCAGCCGAUACUGCGGGGCUAGAGUGCAGAAGGGGCAACUGGAAUUCUUGGUGUAGCGGUGAAAUGCGUAGAUAUCGAGAGGAACACCUGCGGCGAAGGCGGGUUGCUGGGCUGACACUGACGCUGAGGCGCGAAAGCUAGGGGAGCGAACGGG
rnacentral:rRNA from 1 species